UACGUAGGGUGCAAGCGUUGUCCGGAAUUAUUGGGCGUAAAGAGCUCGUAGGCGGUUUGUCGCGUCUGCUGUGAAAACCCGAGGCUCAACCUCGGGCCUGCAGUGGGUACGGGCAGACUAGAGUGCGGUAGGGGAGAUUGGAAUUCAUGGUGUAGCAGUGAAAUGCGUAGAGAUCAUGAGGAAGACCAGUGGCGAAGGCGGGUCUCUGGACAGUUCCUGACACUGAGACACGAAGGCCAGGGGAGCAAACGGG
rnacentral:rRNA from 1 species